rnacentral:rRNA from 1 species
AUACGGAGGAUCCGAGCGUUGUCCGGAUUUAUUGGGUUUAAAGGGAGCGUAGGCGGGAGAUCAAGUCAGCUGUGAAAUGUAGAUGCUCAACAUCUGCACUGCAGUUGAAACUGGUUUUCUUGAGUGCGUAAGGGGCAGGCGGAAUUCGUCGUGUAGCGGUGAAAUGCUUAGAUAUGACGAAGAACUCCGAUCGCGAAGGCAGCCUGCCGGGCCGCGACUGACGCUGAAGCUCGAGGUGCGGGUAUCGAACAGGAUUAGAUACCCUGGUAGUCCGCACAGUAAACGAUGGAUACUCGCUGUCGGCGAUAUACGGUCGGUGGCCAAGCGAAAGCGUUAAGUAUCCCACCUGGGGAGUACGCCGGCAACGGUGAAACUCAAAGGAAUUGACGGGG